GCAGCGAUACCCGGGCUCCGGGGGAAUGCGCGAUAUGCUACAAUGGGACCGUGUGCCCCGGAAGAAAGGCAACCUUCAUCCCCCCGGUGGGGAGAGACGGAGCGCGCGGUGCUGCCUGUCGCUGGAAUCCGCGUUAAACUUCCGCCCAUCUGCGGCCAUAAACAGCCCCAGAUGACAGCUGCGCCCCAGCGCUCGGGAAGCCGUCUCCAGCCCUCGCGCUGAACCGGUGCCGGCUGACGCGCGGAUAUCUGCUGCUAAACAGCCAGAUGCGGCCUUUUUUUUUCUCCCCCUUUGUCACCUCUCAGAAGACUCGCGCCGUCUUCUUCCAGGAAUCACGCCGGAGGGGUUUUAAUGUGGAGCGUGUUUGACGAGCCCAUUGUUCAGGGGUCGCCCCCGGGGAAAUGGCAGCCGACCUCUAUUCCACAUUCCUGGAAGGACCCGGGGCCCUCUGAGGGUAAUUGUUGGUUGUGGGUCAUGUGACAAGCCACUCCCUCUGGAAGACUGCGGCAAAACUCCAAAUGCUAAAGACACCUGGUUAGUUUGUCCUUGCCUUGUAAGAAGCUUUGAAGCAUACUGUACCAAGAUGAAGUCUGGGCUUGCUGAACCGCUCGACCGAACUCUGCUGAUCUUGAAAGAUUCACAGUGUUAAGAUAAAGAACCCCACAUCCUCUUCCCCAAGCCAACACAUCUCAUAAGUAAGUUUUGAAAACAGGUUCAUAUACAAAUCCCUGGUGACUCUGUGCAAAUUACUGAACUGAAGCACACGGUCUGCUGGGACCGAGCAGAAAGAAAAGUAUUAUUCAAGUAUUAUUAACAUAAUAAAAGUGCCUAGGCUGACAAGACAUGUUGCAUUGAAAAUUUAUUCAAAGAUAUGCAUUUUAUUUUUUAUUGAACGCGCCUUGUGGUCUGCGUUUCAGCAUAAUGGAAUACGGCUCUUCAGAUUAUGACCAGAGACUAAGGUUCCCUGCAGUGGACAAAAAUGAAUUGCCAGGUCUUAGAUGGAUACACACACACACACCUACACACACACAGACACAUACA